GUCUGCAUUUCCUGCUCCUCAGGGAACACUUUGGGAAGUGUGGAGAUCAGUUUCCAUUUGGGAUUGGGUUGUGUGGAAGCCUGACUCCUCCCACGAGAACUUCAGAACUUGAGAGUUGGAAGAGAUCUUCGGCGGCUAUUUGGUCCAACUCAUAACCAAAAAGAAUCCUCAUUAUAACAUAUCCAACAAGUGACCAUCCCAUUGACGAGUGAGGAGAAAAAUUCCAGUGAGGAGAAAUCACUGAGGCAGGCCUUCACCCCUUUUAUAUAUGUCCCCUAAAUCUGCCUCUUUGCAACAUCAAUUUAUUGCUUCUGGAGAUCAGAGAUCCUAGUAUUUUCAUAUGACAAACCUUCAAAUAAUUGAAGAAUUAUAUUCUUCCUGAAUCUUUUCUUCCAGACUAAACAUCCUCAAUUCCUUCAUCUGACAUUAUUUCUGGUUGCCCUCCUCUGAAUAUAGCUCAUCUUUCUUAAACUGUGAUGCCUAGAACUGAACAUGGUCUGAUGAAGGCAGAAUACUGUUACCUUCUUAAUCAGAUGCUUCUCAAUACAGCAAAGAUUAUAGUAGUGUUUUUGUUUUUGGCUACCACAUCACACUGUUCACUCAGAUUGAGUUCAAUAAACCAUCUUCAAAUGGCCACAUAA